AAAAAGGCAAACAUUAGAUUUUCGUGACAAUGUUUGACUGUCCGUUUUAUAUGAAAUUUUUUUAUAAUUAGUAUUUUUAUUGUUGUUAGAUGAUAAAACAUGAUUAAUACUUUAUGUGUGAUUUAUUUUUUUAAUUUUUUUAUAAUUUUUUUAAAUAAGACGGACGGUUGGAGUACAACAAAUUAUAAAUGAGCUUUGG
rfam:Oryza nivara chromosome 10, whole genome shotgun sequence.